rnacentral:rRNA from 1 species
UUGAACGCUGGCGGCAGGCCUAACACAUGCAAGUCGAGCGGUAGCACAGAGAGCUUGCUCUCGGGUGACGAGCGGCGGACGGGUGAGUAAUGUCUGGGAAACUGCCUGAUGGAGGGGGAUAACUACUGGAAACGGUAGCUAAUACCGCAUAAUGUCGCAAGACCAAAGUGGGGGACCUUCGGGCCUCAUGCCAUCAGAUGUGCCCAGAUGGGAUUAGCUAGUAGGUGGGGUAACGGCUCACCUAGGCGACGAUCCCUAGCUGGUCUGAGAGGAUGACCAGCCACACUGGAACUGAGACACGGUCCAGACUCCUACGGGAGGCAGCAGUGGGGAAUAUUGCACAAUGGGCGCAAGCCUGAUGCAGCCAUGCCGCGUGUGUGAAGAAGGCCUUCGGGUUGUAAAGCACUUUCAGCGGGGAGGAAGGCGAUAAGGUUAAUAACCUUGUCGAUUGACGUUACCCGCAGAAGAAGCACCGGCUAACUCCGUGCCAGCAGCCGCGGUAAUACGGAGGGUGCAAGCGUUAAUCGGAAUUACUGGGCGUAAAGCGCACGCAGGCGGUCUGUCAAGUCGGAUGUGAAAUCCCCGGGCUCAACCUGGGAACUGCAUUCGAAACUGGCAGGCUAGAGUCUUGUAGAGGGGGGUAGAAUUCCAGGUGUAGCGGUGAAAUGCGUAGAGAUCUGGAGGAAUACCGGUGGCGAAGGCGGCCCCCUGGACAAAGACUGACGCUCAGGUGCGAAAGCGUGGGGAGCAAACAGGAUUAGAUACCCUGGUAGUCCACGCCGUAAACGAUGUCGAUUUGGAGGUUGUGCCCUUGAGGCGUGGCUUCCGGAGCUAACGCGUUAAAUCGACCGCCUGGGGAGUACGGCCGCAAGGUUAAAACUCAAAUGAAUUGACGGGGGCCCGCACAAGCGGUGGAGCAUGUGGUUUAAUUCGAUGCAACGCGAAGAACCUUACCUGGUCUUGACAUCCACAGAACUUUCCAGAGAUGGAUUGGUGCCUUCGGGAACUGUGAGACAGGUGCUGCAUGGCUGUCGUCAGCUCGUGUUGUGAAAUGUUGGGUUAAGUCCCGCAACGAGCGCAACCCUUAUCCUUUGUUGCCAGCGGUUAGGCCGGGAACUCAAAGGAGACUGCCAGUGAUAAACUGGAGGAAGGUGGGGAUGACGUCAAGUCAUCAUGGCCCUUACGACCAGGGCUACACACGUGCUACAAUGGCAUAUACAAAGAGAAGCGACCUCGCGAGAGCAAGCGGACCUCAUAAAGUAUGUCGUAGUCCGGAUUGGAGUCUGCAACUCGACUCCAUGAAGUCGGAAUCGCUAGUAAUCGUAGAUCAGAAUGCUACGGUGAAUUCG